GAAGUCACUUCACAUACCUUCACAACUGCAGUCAGCGUCAGACGGACAGACGCACAAUAAACAUCCGCGGCAGCUGUGAAGCCUCUUCUCAACUUUCCUAGUGGAAAACGUCAGGACAUUCAUAACUAGGCGCUUGAAAUGAAAAGAAAGAAACGCUCCCUUGCCUGGAAAUCCAGAGAGGAAAGCGGCGGCGGGGACCCACACGGCUCCGGACGAUGCUGCUCAACACAAGAGCUGGACUCUGUCGCUGCUCCAGUCUGCCAUCCGGCUGCUUUCAGCCGGAACAUUAGCGCCCCCUAUCGCUGCUCAGAACAGGACAAAUCAAGCUGCACUGUUGAGGACUGACGGCACCACUCAGCCUCACUGAGCCAACACAUCUCAUUAUUUUUUUUUCUCUCUGUCUCCAGUUAACGUCCUGACAUGAUGUCGGUAGGAACAAAUCAGGCCACAUCUGCUUCCUCUACAGACUAAUAUGUGAUUUGAAAGUUAGUUCAGUGUUUGUGACCAGAACUGACAUCCAAUCUUUAUACUCCUUGCUAACGAAUAAGGCUGUUCACACCUAAUGUUUAUUAGCCACCGACAGUAUAGAUUACAUUAACACUAACUAGGAUGCUGUCUGCCAAUAUAAUUUCCAUGUGACCUGAGGACUGAAGGCGGAAGACAGCUCAGGUGGAUCCGCACAUUACAUGCAAGAAAAGCCUUGAUUUUUCAUUUGACUGAAUGUACUGAACACUGUAUAUUCCCCACAUUUUAUGCCCCGUGACAUGUUAUUAAAAUAAUAUGGAUGGAUGUUUGAAUGA